rnacentral:lncRNA from 13 species
UAGUUCACCACAAAUCUGCCAGAAAGACCCCAGCUGAAUACAUUUCAAUGUGCAGAAUUAAGCACAUAUGCAGUAUAGUGCUGUUACCCAAUACUGUUGGUGCGUUGGCCAUUGGCACUGUGUUACUGUAAAACCAGACAAAUAUGUGACGUUUUCCCUCUUUUUUUACAUUUUGUUUUUGCCUACAGAUGGAAUCAAGAUCCCUGGAACCGAGAAUGAGACGACUUGUGGGGGAUUCACAGGGCUUCUUGUGGUGAUACCAAGCAACUAACAUCAGGCAGAAGCUACAUCGAUGGAAUUGAGAAGAUGGACAUUCAACAGGGAUGGAGAGAAGAUGGCUACUGGAUGUUCUCUGGACUGGAUCCUGGAUCAGCAGCAACAGUGGAAGUUCCAUUUUGGAUCUGGCUAUCAUCAAUAUCAUUUAUUAAUAUCACAAUACAGACCUUUAGACUAAUGUGAGGAGUGUUGUCCAGUGUUCCUCAGCCCCUUCCGGACAGGCUCAUAAUGGGACACUUCAUGUUUCCUCAGCC